rnacentral:snRNA from 1 species
ACGCGCAACGAAUCCACGCG